UGACGAGUGGCGGACGGGUGAGUAAUGUCUGGGAAACUGCCUGAUGGAGGGGGAUAACUACUGGAAACGGUAGCUAAUACCGCAUAACGUCGCAAGACCAAAGAGGGGGACCUUCGGGCCUCUUGCCAUCGGAUGUGCCCAGAUGGGAUUAGCUAGUAGGUGGGGUAACGGCUCACCUAGGCGACGAUCCCUAGCUGGUCUGAGAGGAUGACCAGCCACACUGGAACUGAGACACGGUCCAGACUCCUACGGGAGGCAGCAGUGGGGAAUAUUGCACAAUGGGCGCAAGCCUGAUGCAGCCAUGCCGCGUGUAUGAAGAAGGCCUUCGGGUUGUAAAGUACUUUCAGCGGGGAGGAAGGCGACAGGGUUAAUAACCCUGUCGAUUGACGUUACCCGCAGAAGAAGCACCGGCUAACUCCGUGCCAGCAGCCGCGGUAAUACGGAGGGUGCAAGCGUUAAUCGGAAUUACUGGGCGUAAAGCGCACGCAGGCGGUCUGUCAAGUCGGAUGUGAAAUCCCCGGGCUCAACCUGGGAACUGCAUUCGAAACUGGCAGGCUAGAGUCUUGUAGAGGGGGGUAGAAUUCCAGGUGUAGCGGUGAAAUGCGUAGAGAUCUGGAGGAAUACCGGUGGCGAAGGCGGCCCCCUGGACAAAGACUGACGCUCAG
rnacentral:rRNA from 1 species